AUUGAUUAAGCAUGUCUAGGUACAAAGGCACGUCUACAUGUGCUCUUUUGGUGCUGGUUUUCUAUGUGUUGUGCAUGAAUUUUUGUUGUGAAUAUGGUGAAGCAUCAAGAAUAUUCUUAGACUACUCUACAACUACUCAAGCGACACAAAGGCUGGAUGGCCCGGGCAGCAGCCACCGACGGAUCACCAGGGCAUCGCCUAUUGGGAGUUAUCCUCCCCCGGCAGCGAAUGAGCGCCAGGGUAUUAAUUAGGCAUAUUACUUACUAGUGCUUCUUGUUGUCAUUAAACUUUUUGUCCUUCAUUAAAACACUCUGCAAUAGACAAAAUUGUCAUUU